GAGGGGCUGCUCCUAGUACGAGAGGACCGGAGUGGACGAACCUCUGGUGUUCCGGUUGUCACGCCAGUGGCACUGCCGGGUAGCUAUGUUCGGAAUAGAUAACCGCUGAAAGCAUCUAAGCGGGAAACUAGCCUCAAGAUGAGAUCUCACUGGGAACUUGAUUCCCCUGAAGGGCCGUCGAAGACUACGACGUUGAUAGGUCGGGUGUGUAAGCGCUGUGAGGCGUUGAGCUAACCGAUACUAAUUGCCCGUGAGGCUUGACCAU
rnacentral:rRNA from 1 species